rnacentral:misc_RNA from 1 species
UGUUGGUCCAGUUGGCCACUUUUGGUUUGUGUUUUCCUUAUUACCCUUUUAUACAUCUUUUCAUCUGAUAUUGUGUGCUACUGCAAAUGCUGCUAAUGAAGGGAGUCUUCUUUUAGGGAUAAUCUUUAGGGCAAUAUAUUGUUUGGCAUUGGAACUAGAUUGGUGGUACAUGCAUGGAAAUGCUAUUGAAUAAAUUAAUUUAUGGCUUGGAAAUGGGAUUUUGUGUUCUGAGUCUGACUAUGAAGCUGUUGUCGCCUUAUUGCAAGGAGACAGUACCCAUUUCUGAUUCUAAUCCUUUGUCCCUGGCAGUUAGUUGAAGUAGUCCAUUACGUCUUAGGAUAGGCAAUUAUCAGCACCUAUAUAUG